rnacentral:tRNA from 1 species
GUUCAGGUAGUUUAAGUAGAACAUAGCUUUGAAGCAGCUAAAGUGGAAUUUAACCCCUUAACA